UUUUUUUUUUUUUUUUGAGACGGAGUCUCGCUCUGUCGCCCAGGCUGGAGUGCAGUGGCGCGAUCUCGGCUCACUGCAAGCUCCGCCUCCCGGGUUCACGCCAUUCUCCUGCCUCAGCCUCCCGAGUAGCUGGGACUACAGGCGCCCGCUACCACGCCCGGCUAAUUUUUUGUAUUUUUUAGAGUAUUCUGGCCCCCUAGUCAAUGUACUGAGAAAAAUUAGUUCUUAUUUCUAACUGAUGACAUCUUCUCCCUAAAUUAUUAUUUUAAAACUAUUCAACUUAGGAAAGUCUGACCUUUAGAGAUAGAUUCAAAGCAUAAAUAACUAUCUGAGAGGAACUUCUCUUCUCCAUCUCUGGUUUCCAUGAAGAGGAAUUUUCCCUAAGCUCUUUAAGCUUCUGGACCAAAACUUCUGUCUCUUGCAGUGGGUGUCUGCUUGGAGGUCUGAGCUACUCCUGACUUCUAAUGAAGGAGGGUUCUGGGCAGGGACAGGGACAGUGUUGCCCUAAUUGCAACUAAUUUGUCAUCUACAUCUUUGAAUUAUACUUAGAGCUUAAUUUCUUACGCUAGGGAAUUACAAUCUCAGAAGGCUAUGUAGAAAGUGAAUUGUAAUAACCUGUGAGAAAGCUCCUUCUGCAGAGCAGCCACUCCGUAGUGUCCAAUUUAUAACACUAAAUUGUCAGGGAGAAACCCCCUAUCUCAAGAGUAUUUGAGAGUAAAGUCUACAUAUUAGAAACACCGUAGAGAUAAUUGCUUCUAAGUUCUCGCUCACUUGCAGAUUCUAGAAU
rnacentral:lncRNA from 1 species